CUUCCCCUGCGGUGAUCGUGAUUGGCAGAACCAUUAUUGAUCCAACAAUUUUGAACCGGGACACCAGUCAGACUCCCGUGUGCAGAUCCCUACCGGGAUAGCCUAAAGGAGAAUCAUGGUAGACCCACAUGACUAGCGUCGGUUCAAGAACGUACUGUCGACACGGCACUUUCGCGGGGGAGUG
rnacentral:other from 1 species